UACGUAGGGUGCGAGCGUUGUCCGGAAUUAUUGGGCGUAAAGAGCUUGUAGGCGGUCUGUCGCGUCUGCUGUGAAAAUCCGGGGCUCAACCCCGGACUUGCAGUGGGUACGGGCAGACUAGAGUGUGGUAGGGGAGACUGGAAUUCCUGGUGUAGCGGUGAAAUGCGCAGAUAUCAGGAGGAACACCGGUGGCGAAGGCGGUGGUCUGGGCCGGCACUGACGCUGAGGAGCGAAAGCGUGGGUAGCAAACAGG
rnacentral:rRNA from 1 species